rnacentral:lncRNA from 1 species
AUAAGCCUUGGGCUCCUGUCACGGUUCUCUGAUGAGGGGUUGGGCCUCCUUACCCCGCCAACGUCUUGAGUAUUUUUCAAAUGUCUGUCAUUUCUCUUGCACUUUCCUAAUAAAAGUGAAAGCCCUCUGUCAAGAAAAGGGGGCAAGAAAACUCAGCAAACCUCAGACGCUUGAGGUCUGUAAGCUGCAGCGUCCUGGCUCCCUGAGAACACUGUCUGCAAAUACGGGCACCCCCAGGGAAGGCUGGGAGUUUGGUUCCUGGCAGCCACUUCUGAUUGAGUCCUUGGGAGCAAAUGUCUGAUGCUGUAUUUUCAGAACUGUGAGGAGAUGACUGGGAACUCUUGGGGUUGCUUCAGGUGAUUGAUCGCCUGAUUUCAGAGCAGCUGGUCCCCUUUUCUGUUUUCCCCACAGGAAAGCAAGACAGCCACGCCCUAAAACACGCACACGUGUAAUCCCUCAGGCAGGUCCCUGUGAGUUCCAGGCCAGUCUAAGCUACAGAGGGAAAGUGUCUCAAAAAACUAAAAUGACAGCAACCAAAAGUAACUUGCUUAUUCAGUACAGACAUGUGAAGACUCUGUCUGGCAACUGUGUCCCCUCUGCACCGUGACUCCGUGAUUUUGUGGGCAGGGCUGAAGCCGGAUGACUCUAGGAGUGCUGAUACGGCAAGGGAUAUAAGAACCCCCGACUAACCUCAUCUAUCACCCCUUGUCGUUAGGUUUGGGACCCUUCUCGUUGAGGGGCCUGCUGCUCGACCUUUGCAAUGUUCUGCUUUUGAUAUGUGUCAGAUGGGAGUCUGGAAACUAUAAUAAAUAUGAUUGUAUCCAUUUA